CUAUAUUUAAAAAAAAAAAAUUCCACAGAACAAUUUCUCGCAGUCUUUAACAAAAAGAGUUCUAGAGAGAGGGAGCCUUUAUUAUCAGCCCUAGGCCGAUGUUUUUCCUACUCAUCUUAGUCAAGAAAAAAUCAAAGGGAGAAUUUGUUACCUCUUAGGGAGCGGCUUAAUUGUUUGCACGGUCCGUAGGCUGCCGAGAGAAAGGCAAAAUGCUGUGUACCAAAAACUAUAAACUGCUUGGACUGUUCUGUUUGAUAAAGGUUCAUAGUUAAUAAAAAAAACUUUCUUUCCCUUCUGCUCUGGGCUAGAUCACGAGCCGCUGACUCUGAUAGCGCCAAGAUUAUGUUCUAUCUCAUACAUAUUUUUCUCUUGGCUGAGUUGAGUUGUUUCAGUGUAAUUUAUUUGUCAGAGGAAGUCAUUAUCAGGAGAAAAGGCAAUUUCUUAGUAAUUAAAGCCAGUCUGAAUUUCUGGAUUGCAAGUUGAAUUUACUAGUUCAGCAGAUCCGAGUACGCGAGUGUUGAAUAUUAUUAGGGAUCGACUCCCUCUUCAUUAUGACCUGGUUUUGUGCCACACGGAAUCUUUGCAUGCUGCUGAAUAUUCUUUUCAGUUGUGCCCGUGGGACCACAGCGGAAGAUGCAGACCAGGGCUUGUCUCAGAGGGUAUGGACUACAAGAAGAUCCCCCAGAAGACACAGAAUGGGAAGCAGCACCCACCACCACCCUUGGGAGCUCCGGUCACCCCGAGCUGGGAGGACAAGGCUAUUGGCAACUUCCAUCUUAUGUGAAAAUAAAGGGCCCAGAGCUUUGAGCCCUCAUGCUUUGCUCCAGAAGUCCACGGAUACCAUGUCACAGAGGACAAGGGCAUCUGGGUAAGCUGGAAGCGGCACGACCUCUCCCUCUCUUUGUCGCAAUUCGGGAAGGAAACGUUUCUGCACAAACGUGAAGAAAUACAGCAGACUUGCCUUAUUUCGGACCACAGGAGGGCGACGUUCAGCUGCAGCUGAAACAAACAGGACUUCCCAAAACAGGUGUGCCGUUUACUGAUGUAAAAAUAAAUGAGAUGAAGCAAAUUAGCUAAUUUUAGAGUGGUUACAGACCGUGGCUAUUGUUUGAUGCAUCGGUCUGCAUCCACUCUGACUUAGCAUUUUGUUGAUUUGCGGUUAAUCGGUAAUUGCCCUAAAUCACUUUGUCAUCCUUGAGCAAAGGUAAUAAAUUAUGGAGGAUAAGGCAUAGUUGUAUGCUAGAUUGUGGCUCUGUUACUUGUUUAGUUACUUUGUCAUUUUGUCAUCCUUAACCGUGUUGCACAGUUAAGUGUUAUAUUGAUGGGGAAGAGGACUGGGGAAGGAUUAUGAUUUUGAAUAGAGAAAUUACCUAUGAGUGCGUGUGUGUUAAGAAAAGUGUUACAAGGAUUGCAGGCAGAGAACACAAACGGUAUGGUAUGAAAACUGCACAAUACUAAUUUUUGGAGAGCAACGUACCAACAGGAGUGUAUUAAUGCAGGUGACUUCCAGUAGUCUUGGUAAUGUAGCAAAUGUAGUCGCAUGAAGGUUUUUGUUCAGCAAGAGCUUGUAGUCUCUGUACAUACUGAUCACAGCCUGGAACCAGGUUAUCAGGAAGGCUGAAUGCUCCAUGAAGGCUCCAUGGAGGAGGAGUUGAGAAUCAAAGUAGGAGAUAAGCCAGGUUUGAAGUGGCUGAGAAGCAAGAUGAGAAGAAUUUGGCACCAAAAGCUGUCUGAUACUUCAGAUAUGCAAAAAAAAAAAAAAACAAAAAACAUUUAUUUCCGGGUACAGGUAGUGGAAUUGCCUAGAAAUAGUAAGCAGGAGCAGAGCUGGAACAUAGCACAACAGUCUGUGAAUAUAGGAUAUAGAGCAUCCUACAUACCUCAGGGCAAACGAAGCUGAUGAGAGCACCACACAUAAUGCUGAAGCAUAUCGGAUAUGGAGGGUUGUAGGAUGAUGACAAACACUUUGCUGGAACAGGUUGCCCAAGGAGAUAGCGGAUGCCCCAGUCCUGGAGGUGUUCAAGGCCAGGAUGGAAGGGGGAGCCUGGUCAUCGGUCACCUUGCACGCAGCUUGAACUUAGAUGAUGAUACCCAGGCCAUUCUACGAUUCUAUCACGGAUUCUAUAUAAAGUAGGUAAGAAAAACAGCAUAGAAGAUGCUGUCUGUUAGCAAUUUGCACAGAAGGAUGCUGAUAGCAUAGCAAUGUUGUUAGUAAAAAAAAAAUAAAAAUCGAGAGGGAUAAAUCAGACAAAGGCUUUUACUAAAAGCUGUGUAUCAUACGGGAUAGAUAAAUGAAGAGUGCAGGUAUUGUGCCUGGGCUGCACGGAUCCUAGUAAAUAACAUCGUUAAGAGAUCUUAGGUCAGUUGUUGUGCAGUAUCACGGAGGGAAAAUAACAAUGACUAAGACUGAAAUAGGAGAAAAGACCUGUAAUGCAAUUAAAUUUUCUUAUGAGCAAAUGCCAGUAGUUGGACACACCUUUACUCAAAAAUUAAAAAGGGG
ensembl:lncRNA